rnacentral:rRNA from 1 species
UACAGAGGGUGCGAGCGUUAAUCGGAAUUACUGGGCGUAAAGCGCGCGUAGGCGGUUUUGCAAGUCGGGUGUGAAAUCCCCAGGCUUAACCUGGGAACUGCAUUCGAGACUGCAUUACUAGAGUAUGGGAGAGGGAAGUGGAAUUUCCGGUGUAGCGGUGAAAUGCGUAGAUAUCGGAAGGAACAUCAGUGGCGAAAGCGGCUCUCUGGACCACAACUGACGCUGAGGCGCGAAAGCUAGGGGAGCAAACAGG